rnacentral:rRNA from 1 species
GUCGAGCGGAAACGAUCCUAGCUUGCUAGGAGGCGUCGAGCGGCGGACGGGUGAGUAAUGCAUAGGAAUCUGCCCGGUAGUGGGGGAUAACCUGAGGAAACUCAGGCUAAUACCGCAUACGUCCUACGGGAGAAAGCAGGGGCUCUUCGGACCUUGCGCUAUCGGAUGAGCUUAUGUCGGAUUAGCUGGUUGGUGAGGUAACGGCUCACCAAGGCGACGAUCCGUAGCUGGUCUGAGAGGAUGAUCAGCCACAUCGGGACUGAGACACGGCCCGAACUCCUACGGGAGGCAGCAGUGGGGAAUAUUGGACAAUGGGGGCAACCCUGAUCCAGCCAUGCCGCGUGUGUGAAGAAGGCCCUCGGGUUGUAAAGCACUUUCAGUGAGGAAGAAGGCUUGUCGGUUAAUACCCGGCAAGAAAGACAUCACUCACAGAAGAAGCACCGGCUAACUCCGUGCCAGCAGCCGCGGUAAUACGGAGGGUGCGAGCGUUAAUCGGAAUUACUGGGCGUAAAGCGUGCGUAGGCGGCUUGAUAAGCCGGUUGUGAAAGCCCCGGGCUCAACCUGGGAACGGCA